UACGUAGGGGCUAGCGUUAUCCGGAAUUACUGGGCGUAAAGGGUGCGUAGGCGGUCUUUCAAGCCAGAAGUGAAAGGCUACGGCUCAACCGUAGUAAGCUUUUGGAACUGUAAGACUUGAGUGCAGGAGAGGAGAGUGGAAUUCCCGGUGUAGCGGUGAAAUGCGUAGAUAUCAGGAGGAACACCGGCGGCGAAGGCGGCUUGCUGGACGGCAACUGACGUUGAGGCUCGAAAGCGUGGGGAGCAAACAGGAUUAGAUACCCCGGUAGUCCCUGAGCGGGCU
rnacentral:rRNA from 1 species